rnacentral:tRNA from 1 species
GGGGGAGUGAGUUAAGGGCGAUGCGCAUGGUCUCCAAAACCAUGAAUCCGGGUUCGAAUCCCGGCUCCCCCG